GCAUAUCAGAGAAAUGAGCCGGAAUGC
rnacentral:sRNA from 1 species